CCAUUAUUGUUCUCCUCCCUCUUCUUCCUCCUCCUCCCCCCCACACCUUGGCUCCAGUCCCUACCUCGCCACUUUCCAAUCAUGCAAGCAAGAUCCCACAGUCACAUACACAACCAACAGGUGACAGUCAAUCAUCAGCAUCCACGUGGACCCCACCAUCCUCUGCUAUCCGUACGAUGCAUGCACAAGUCCCACUCAUAAAAACUACCUUUUGGUGUUUCAUUUCCCCGUCACUCUCUACCUUUCCAGCUCCCAUCUUCAUGCGUUUCUCCUCUGGGUCCGGUUCCAUAUAGAUUUUGGAAACUGUCAUAGUUGGGAUUCUAAAACAUGGCACAACUGCAUGUGGAUGUAAAUCUCAAAGGAAAUACGAAGAACGGUGAUAAUGUCCGCACUGCGGACGACAUUGAAGAAUGUGAUUUCUCAAAGUUACUGGACAAGCCAAGGCCUCUGAAUAUAGAUAGGCAGAGAUCAUGUGAUGAAAGGUCGCUUAAUGAGUUAUCUAUUGGCUUGUCACCACAUCUGUCUUGCAGAAACUCUGAUGCCUUUUCAAGAAUUAUCGACCAUAUUGAUUAUGUCCAUUCACCAAUUGCUGGUCGAAAGUCUGGAUUUAAUACUCCAAGGUCACAUGUGAAUGUGUUUGAGCCACAUCCAACGGUGGCUGAAGCCUGGGAUGCUUUGAGGCGCUCCUUGGUAUACUUUAGAGGCCAACCAGUUGGGACAAUUGCUGCACUAGACAAUUCAGAAGAAGAACUUAACUAUGAUCAGGUGUUUGUGAGAGACUUUGUUCCUAGUGCAUUGGCCUUUUUGAUGAAUGGGGAACCUGAAAUAGUAAAAAACUUCAUUUUGAAGACUCUUCGCCUUCAAUCAUGGGAGAAAAAGAUAGAUAGAUUUCAGCUUGGCGAGGGGGUCAUGCCAGCUAGUUUCAAGGUUCUUCAUGAUCCUGUCAGGAACUAUGAAACUUUAAUUGCUGAUUUUGGAGAAAGUGCAAUAGGAAGAGUUGCCCCUGUGGAUUCUGGAUUUUGGUGGAUUAUAUUACUUCGGGCAUACACAAGGUCUACAGGAGACUCUUCUCUGGCUGAAAUGCCUGAAUGCCAGAAGGGCAUGCGCCUAAUACUGAGUUUAUGCCUGUCAGAGGGGUUUGACACAUUUCCUACUCUUCUUUGUGCUGAUGGGUGCUGCAUGAUUGAUCGUAGAAUGGGUGUUUAUGGGCAUCCUAUUGAAAUACAAGCACUCUUCUUUAUGGCUUUGAGAUGUGCUUUGCUUCUCCUAAAGCAAGAUAAUGAGGGGAAGGAGUUCAUAGAACGAAUUUCUAAGCGCCUACAUGCACUAAGCUAUCACAUUAGAAGUUACUUUUGGCUUGAUCUGAAGCAGCUCAAUGAUAUAUACAGAUAUAAGACAGAAGAGUACUCACACACGGCAGUCAAUAAGUUUAAUGUAAUUCCAGAUUCUCUUCCGGAAUGGGUUUUUGACUUUAUGCCACUUCGUGGUGGCUACUUUAUUGGUAAUGUUAGCCCUGCAAGAAUGGAUUUCCGUUGGUUCUGUUUGGGUAACUGCAUUGCAAUUUUGUCAUCCCUAGCAACUCCUGAACAAUCUACUGCAAUUAUGGAUCUUAUAGAAUCACGUUGGGAGGAAUUAGUUGGAGAAAUGCCACUAAAAGUUUGUUAUCCAGCAAUAGAGAGCCAUGAAUGGCGGAUUGUAACAGGGUGUGAUCCUAAAAAUACAAGAUGGAGUUACCACAAUGGGGGAUCUUGGCCAGUUCUACUUUGGCUUCUAACGGCUGCAUGCAUCAAAACCGGACGCCCACAAAUAGCAAGAAAUGCUAUUGAACUAGCCGAAACCAGGCUGCUGAAGGACAACUGGCCUGAAUAUUAUGAUGGUAAGGUUGGCCGAUACAUUGGGAAGCAGGCUCGAAAGUUCCAGACAUGGUCAGUUGCUGGUUACUUGGUAGCAAAGAUGAUGUUGGAAGAUCCAUCUCAUUUAGGCAUGGUGGCACUUGAGGAAGACAAACAAAUGAAACCCCUCAUGAAAAGAUCAAAUUCAUGGACUUUUUGAUGAAAUUCAUUAGGAUGGUGUUGUUUACUAUCAUUUUCUGAUUUCAACCAACUGACCAGUUCAGAGCUAAUCACGAAACAAAGGUAUUGAAGAGGAAAUCAAGUCCAAACGAAGACUGCUUCGGUGGAAACAAGCUGCUUCCUUCAGGGGUUGGCUGCUAACUUUUUGUAGACAUUGACUUGAUGGGUCGAACCAACCGCACAGUCAGAAGAGGUUUGAUUUGCUUUGUUCACGAGUGCGGAGUUAUUCUCUAUACAUACCGAAGGCAGAGGGACAAGUCAUUGAGUGGUCGUAUCACGGAUUUCAAAUACUCUCUGGGACAUAGUUGCCUCCUUUUAUUAAUCGAUUAUUACUUUUAUUUUUAGUGGCUAACAGUUUUUGUAUUAUAAUUCAAAAGUGUGUAUGUUGUAUUUCCA